AUUGAACGCUGGCGGCAGGCCUAACACAUGCAAGUCGAGCGAGCGGCGGACGGGUGAGUAAUGCCUAGGAAUCUGCCUGGUAGUGGGGGAUAACGUCCGGAAACGGUAGCUAAUACCGCAUACCAUCAGAUGUGCCCAGAUGGGAUUAGCUAGUAGGGGGGGUAACGGCUCACCUAGGCGACGAUCCCUAGCUGGUCUGAGAGGGGGACCAGCCACACUGGGACUGAGACACGGUCCAGACUCCUACGGGAGGCAGCAGUAGGGAAUAUUGGACAAUGGGCGCAAGUCUGAUGGAGCCACGCCGCGUGUGUGAAGAAGGCUUUCGGGUUGUAAAGCUCUUUCAGCGGGGAGGCGGUAUCCGCAGAAGAAGCACCGGCUAACUCCGUGCCAGCAGCCGCGGUAAUUC
rnacentral:rRNA from 1 species